rnacentral:tRNA from 1 species
AUCUCAUUAGCUUAAUGGCAGAGCAUAAUACUUCUAACAUUACGAUCCUAGUUCAAUUCUUGGAUGAGAUU